rnacentral:lncRNA from 1 species
GGAAUUUCCACAUACCUUGGGUGUGGCAAAAAAACAAAACAAAAUAAAACAAAAUAAUUAAAAAAUGGUAGCUGUUAAAAAGUUAAACUUGGUUGCUUCUCCAGUGUGCAUGGGUUAAGUAGGGUUUUGAUAGAAGGCAAAGGGGUGGGGUAGGGCUGGGACUUAACAGCAGGGCAUUCUCUCUUACCUUUUGCAAUUAACUUUUCAGCACCAUUGAUUUUUUUUUUUCUUUGUAAAUGUGCACACAUAAUGCUUUCAUUAAAAAAAAAAGUUUUAAAGAUUAACCCAGUGGUAAGCUUAUUAGACCUAAGAAAAUGUCUCUCUCUUCAAUAAUCUGAUCAAGUUACUAUUCACUACUUAAGCUAUGGCACCUGCUUGUUAAUAUAUUAUUUACAUCUUCAUCUUUCAGGUGUUAUCCUAAAAUUAUCCUUUGUUUUUCUUUCUCUGUUCCUUUUCUUUCUUUUUUUUUUUUUUUCUUUUCCUUUUUUUUUUUUUUUUUGUCUUUUUUGUGUUAUUUCUUGGGCCGCUCCCGCGGCAUAUGGAGGUCCCCAGGCUAGGGGCCGAAUCGGAGCUGUAGCCACCGGCCUAUGCCAGAGCCACAGCAAUGCGGGAUCCGAGCCGCGUCUGCAACCUACACCACAGCUCACGGCAACGCCGGAUCGUUAACCCACUGAGCAAGGGCAGGGACCGAACCCGCAACCUCAUGGUUCCUAGUCGGAUUUGUUAACCACUGCGCCACGACGGGAACUCCCCCUUUUCUUUCUUUUAAUUUUGCCCUCUACAAACAUUUCAGAGGUAAUUUCUCCAUCCAAAAAAUUUGAAAGCUAUCCAUUUAUGGAAAGUUUGUUUCUGAUAGACUAUCAAAUAAAACAAGGAAGGCAAUUCACCUGGUUUAAAACAUGCCAGAUACAUCUAUAUUUGUCACAAAUAUAGACAAAUAUACUCUAUAGAAAGUAGAGCCAGGGGAGAGAUGGGGAAUAGAGCAACUGCUAAUGGGUUUUCACGAGAGGGAAGAGGUAUGUUUUAGACCUGGAGAAUAGUCAUGGUUGUACAUCUUUGAAAACUUCCUAAAAUGACUGCAUUGUACAUUUUAAAAGAGUGGGUUUUAUGGUACAUGAAGUAAUCUUUUUUAAAAGUCCAUUAAAAAUAGUCAAGGGAAUAAACCAAAAUAAUAAUCAUGUUAUACUUGGGGAAUAUUUUCUUUUUCUCAUCUACUUCCCAGAGUUUUGGUGAUGUGAUAUGACUUUCAUAAUUUCAAAAAAAUUUUUUUCCCUUUAUUGCCAUGCCUGUGGCAUAUGGAAUGUCUUGAGCUAGGGGUCUAAUUGGAGCUGCAGGCCUACACCACAGCCACAGCAACACCAGAUCCAAGCCACAUCUGUAACCUGCACUGCAGCUUGCAGAAACGCCAGAUCCUCAACCCAGUGAGCAAGGCCAGGGAUCAAACCCACAUCCUCACGGAGGCUAUGUAGGGUUUUUAACUCACUGAGCCACAAUAAGAACUCCUCAAACAUAUUGAAUAAUGUCAUUAUUCUCAAUGUGUAGUACCAUGUGAUAUGUCUAAUUUUUCUUCCUAAUUCCAUAACACUUUCUGUUUUCUCAUGUGCUCUAAAGUGCAUGAUUAUUCACAUUUUAAUCAGUUUUCUUUUUAGUUUGGGGUUUCGUGUUACUCUCAUUCUCUUUUGGUUUUUUCUUUUCAUUACCUUGAUGAUGCCAGAUUUUUACUUGUGAUUUGCCCUUUCUGCUGUUUUCUUCACUGACUAGAGUGAGUGUUUUCUUCACUUCACUUUGCUUUGCUGCUUUCCUUGAGAGCUUUCCCUGAAACACAUUUGGUUAAAUGCCUUAACCAAAUCGUGACUUCAUAAAAAAGAAGCUGUACUUUUCUGCCCUGAAUCAUUCUUCAGUUUAAUUAAAGAUGGCAGGAAAUCUGGAGAAGGGGGAAAGGAGCACAGGAAAGUAAGAGGAGGAAAAACUGAUAUUUUUUGAGCCCUUUUAUUUGCCAGACUCUUUCAUGCAUUUUCUCACUACUCCCUCCAGCCUGGGAGGUUAUAUUACCCUCUUCAUUUCAAUGUAGUCCCUGGCUCAGGUAGGUUAAGCAUCUUGCUUCAGGUCACACAGCUGGUAAAUAGCAAAAGCAAGUGUGAGCCUCAGAUCUAACAUCAAAAUCAGUGCUCUUGGGAGUUCCUGUUAUAGCGGAUUUGGAAACGAAUCCCACCAGUAUCCAUGAGGAUACGGUUCGAUGCCUGGCCUCUCUCAGUGGGUUAAGGAUGCAGCAUUGCCGUGAGCUAUGGGUUAGGUCGCAGACACGGCUCAGAUCCCAUAUUGCUUGAGGCCGUGGUGUAGGCUGGCAGCUGUAUCCCCAGUUGGACCCCUAGCCUGGGAACCUCCAUACGCCACUGGAAAGCAAAAAAAAAAUCCCCAGAAAACCCACCAAAAACAUUGCUGUCUUCUCUACACCUUCAUUUUUUUAAUUAGGUCAAUUCUAUUGAGACAUAUUAAUGGCCUCCAAAAGUUAUAUCAACUUAUACCAAUAACCAGUAGAUUUUAAUGUUUACUGGUUAUUUAUAUAUUUGCAACUAAUAGAUUUUCUUAUGUGUAUUAGCUAUUUUUAUAAUUUCUUCUCUGAAUUUCCUGCUUUUCCCUAUUUCCUAUUCUUCUACUAUGUUAUAUGUUUAUGAUUCUUAUUGAUUUACAGCACUCUCUCUAUAUCGUGGCUAAUGAUUUUUUGUUUUCUGUGUUAUAAUUAUGACUUCCUAGAUUGCCAUUCAUCUACUAACUUUGUUUAUAGUACUUUUUACAUGUAAAACAAUUAUAAUUAUUCACAUUUUAAACUGUUUUCUUUAGGUUAUGGGUUUAAUGUUACUCUAAGUAGUUAUUUUACCAUCCUGAGCUUAUAAAACAUUUCUGUGAAUUUUAUUCUUAGUAGUUUUUAAAUUUCCUUUUUAUUAAAAAAAAAUUCAGGUCUUUGAUCUAUCUGAAAUUUAGCUUAGUCUGUAGUAUAAAAGGUAAUAAACAUUAUUCCUUAUCUAACAAUAACCAGUUUACCAAACCAGUUCAUUUUACUUUAUAUACUGAUUUUGCAUGCAACCUUGGUAGAAUACUAAAUACAAACAUACACAUACAAAAACACACCCACACAGGAGAAUAUAUAUAUAUAUAUACUCACAAGAAUAUGUCUCUACAGAUGGACAACAGGCACAUGAAAAGAUAUUCACCAUCACUAAUUAUCAGAGAAAUACAAAUCAAAACUGUGAGAUAUCACUUGAUACUGGUCAGAAUGGCCAUGAUUAAAAUUCUAUAAAUAAUAAAUGCUGGAGAGAGAGUAGAGAAAAGGGAACCCUCCUAUACUGUUGAUGGGAAUGUAAAUUAGUGCAGCCACUAUGGAGAACAGUAUGGAGAUUCCUCAAAAAGCUAAAAAUGGAGUUACCAUAUGAUCCAGCAAUCCCACUCCUGGACAUAUCUCUGGAGAAAACCAUAAUUUGGAAGUAUACAUGCCCCUUUAUGUUCAUUGCAGUACCGUUCAGAAUAGUGAGGAAGCAUGCUAUGUAUCUAUCAACAGAUUAAUGGAUAAAGACUUGGUAUAUAAGACACAGUGGAAUACUACUUGGCUAUAAAAAGAACGAAAUAAUGCCAUCUGCAGCAACAUGGAAGGACCUAGAAAUAUUAUCAUACUAAAUGAAAUCAGAGAAAGACACAUAUAUGAUAUAAUUUAUGUGUGGAAUCUAAAAAUAUGAUACAAAUUAACUUAUUUUUAAAACAGAAAUAGAGUCACAGACAUAGAACUUACCAAAGGGAGAAGGGGUGGGGAAAUAAAUUAGGGAAUUUGGGAUUAACAUAUACAUACUACUAUAUAUAAAAUAGAUAAACAAUGAGGACCUACUAAAUAGUAGAGGGCAUAUAUUCAAUAUCUUGUAAUAACCAAUAAAGGAGAAAAAUCUGAAACAAUAUAUAUAUUAUCAAAGAAUAUAUAUACAUAUAUAUUUUUUAAAUCUGUCUCUAAAUUUUCUGUUCUGCUCCAUUAGUCUUUUUACCUGUUCCUAAACCAGUACCAUACCAUUAAUUUUGAUAUUUGUUAGGACAGAUCUCAUCUUCUUGCAAUAUCUUUUAAAUAAACAAAAAAAUCUCACAAAUAAAUAAAUAAAAUUUAUACCCAAAGAUGCUAAAUGACUCGCUUAAAUUCAUGUAUAAUUUAGAUAUAGAAUCUAGAGAAUAAUCUCAGUAUCUUGAGUUUAGAUCAUGUAUUCAUUUGAACAGAUUUUUAUUUAGCACCUGCUAUAUGCCAGGAACUGUCCAUCAGUGAAGGUGACAAAAAAAUGUGUGCCCUGAUGGGGCUAACACAUGUUCAACAUUAUUAUUCAUCUUCAAAUAGAUGUAUUCUCUAUAUACCCUUACUACAUUUCCCAGUUUUUGAGAAAUAAAUCUUAUUUAUUCCUUCAGAAUAAUUUAAAGAGUUGGAAUCUUACACUUUCACAGCCUUUUUUUCUUUGCAUAUAAAUUUUUUUAAACUCUACAGUUUCAUUUCUCUUUUUUUAAUGCAAAAUAGUUUCUCUUCUAUAUCCAAGUUUGGUCUCUAAACACCUCUUUGUAGAGAAUUCAUUGCUAAGGAGCUUAAGACUUUGUAAGGAAAAUUAGUUUAGUGAAAGCAAGGUUACAGUUAAACUAGAAAAAAGGCUUUUUCCUUAAACAGUAAUUAAAAGAAAUAUUAAAUAAUAUACAAUAUUAUGCAUCUGUAAUUUGUAAUUAAUUUUCCUUCACCAUGUCUUACUCUGGAGGAAUUUUUUUCAGAACUUCUCUUUUAUGAAGUUUUUAAAGUUUCAGAAGAUGCAUGAUUAUUUUAUUUCAGAGCACACAAUAUUCAUGAUGGUUCUUUUCCCCCUAUAAUUUCUCAUCAUUACAUUACAGAUUUUAUGACUUGGAAUAACUGAAUCUCACUGUCUCGUCCCAACAUGACCCCAAAGAGAAUGACUUGACGGGUUAAAUGUAUGUUUGGGCUCUAAAGUUGUACAGAUCUAGAUUCAGAACAAGGUUUGCCACAGAAUCACUGUGUGACUUUGGACAGGGGAAAAGUAAAUCUAAGUAGAUGUUCUCAUGUUUCCCCACUUCACGCUAGUACACUACCUCAGUGUGCUGUGCUAGGGGAGAAUCUGCCUGGACUGCGCACUGGAGGAGUUUAAGGUCUUGGAGCCUACGUCAGGUGGAACAUGCCCAACUUACUGGUCACCAUUAUAAUCUCACCAGGAUACCAUAUGGU